CUCCUACCAUUGUCUUAAUCCCACCAUGCUGCUCAUACCAACUCCCAAACCAACUAUUUGGAUUAUACCCGUUUCAAGUCUGAGUGGGUACGUGCUCCAGUUUAACCAUAUUGCUGGUAAUAUCAAUCACUGCCUGCCCCUCAUCAUCUAUAUGCAAACAACAAUUACUAGGGUUAUACUUUCCACACACACCUCCCUCUACUGCCAGCAAAUAAUCAAGAGCCAACCUAUUUUGGUAAAUGGCUGAUCUCAUGCGGGUAUUUUGCUUCAUCAAAAGGUUAAGGGCCUUAGCU